rnacentral:misc_RNA from 1 species
GAAAUGCGAUAUCUAAUGUGAAUUGCAGAAUUCAGUGAAUCAUCGAGUCUUUGAACGCACAUUGCGCCCCCUGGUAUUCCGGGGGGCAUGCCUGUCCGAGCGUCAUUGCUGCCCUCAAGCCCGGCUUGUGUGUUGGGUCCUCGUCCCCCGGCUCCGGGGGACGGGCCCGAAAGGCAGCGGCGGCACCGCGUCCGGUCCUCGAGCGUAUGGGGCUUUGUCUUCCGCUCUGCAGGCCCGGCCGGCGCCCGCCGGCGCAAUUUUUUGCAACCUUUUAUUUUUCCAGGUUGACCUCGGAUCAGGUAGGGAUACCCGCUGAACUUAAGC